CGUGAUCGCCAGUAGUUGAUCGUAACGCGGGAAUUAAUUUGUAUUUUUGUAUUUUGUAUUUCUUGCGUAUAGUUUGUAGGUUUUUAAUUUUCCUCGCGGCGCAACUUGCGAACUCGGCGAUCCCUCUUUAUUAAAGUCAAAUUUUGAAAUCAAACACGCUCAACGAAGAGUCGCGAAACAGUCGUAAAAGAUACACUACACGAUCAAGAGUAGCUAUAUAGUAGCUAUAUAGUAGCUUCUCUCGCUGCUAUAUAAUAUUUUGAUAAAUGAACAUGUCCGUCGUUAUAUCGUAACCAAAAAACUAUGCAGGAGUUAAAUGCACGUAAAUAUACUAAUAGGGACAAUGAAACACGUGACAAUUCAAGCGACUGACAAGCGACUGACGACGUGUUUCGUUACAUUCCCGAUGGAAAAAUGGAAAAAAGGAUCGUUUCCUAAUCCAAGGAGUGGCCCAUCUUUCUCACGGUUCGCUGUUCAAGAACGCACGCGGUGAGACGUUUCUUCUACGAAUGAGGCUAUCUCGUCGGUCGUGGAGCACCCGACUUUGAAAAGUUGGCAGACGAGGAAUGAAAGAAGGAGAAACAAGUGUCGACGACUUAGCAACCAGGAUUGUACAGAUUUUCCAACGAAACGUGAAGAACUGUACAAUUUCUACACUAACCUAAACAUGGAUGUCUGAUCUACGUCGCCGCAAGGAGGAUCGUAUUUUCGGAAAAAAAAAAGAAGAAAAAAGAAAACGCAGAAUUAUUCCUCAAAUAAUUGCUGUGUUCCAAAUUUUCUCCCGACUUCGCCCUUUGCCCGAAAGAAUGCAAAACGAAUUCUACGCGGCAAACGUGGCCUAGCCGUACGAAGAAGAAUUCCAUUCCAACCUCCCUCCCGCCCCCAAAACCGUGGUCGGUUUUUGCCACGCAAUUACUACGAAGUAUCAUCUCUCAUGACGCAAAAGGAGAAAAACGGGAUGGGAGAGGUGGUCUCGCCGUGUCUCGCGGUUGUAUUUUCAGCAACGUGUCAUCCGGUUCGCCGUUUUACGCGGCUCGUUUAUUUUCGGUGGCGGGAGGGAGAGAAACGAGAAGAGGCGAGGAGUUACAGCGACGCAGGGGCAACCGCAGCUUCAAAGGAGCCCUCCACUCGUUACUUUAUUAGCGCGAGCGCGCGUGCCAGUACGGCCCGCGGAAAGAAAGAUCGUGGCCUUUGGAUCUCUGCUGGCGAAACGCUGGAUAAGUUCCCGGAACGAUCGUAUAAAUUUCUUCGCUUGCCGCGCAACCGCUCGCUUGAAGAAUCGAAACGCUCCGAAUCUUCCCCAACGGACGCCUUGUUCACUGCGAUAUUUCUCCUCGACGCGACGCGGAGAAACGAUCGUUGCCACCGGACGGUUUUUCUCUCCUUUCCUCAGCGACGAAUGAUCAACGACGAACUUUCGAUCGAUGUGCAGCAGCAGUGAAUUGGGAGUGAGAUUUUCAACGAACGUUGAAAAAUUCGAGGAUUGAACAAGUCUCGCGCUGGCUAUUGCAUUAUUUUACUCGUAACAUUCGUGUUACUUGUAUUUAUACUUUAUCUGUACAAUUAUAUUGCCAUUUUCUUUACAUUAAAUCGUUAAGUUUUAAAUUUUCAUAAUUGCGUUAUUUAAAUGAAUGACGAAUUUUUAACCUACUGAACUUCCACAGUGAUGUGUCUACCAUGACAAGUUUCAUUAAAUUUAUUUUUUAUUUUCAAUAGAAAAAAGUUGAAAAAUUCGGAGAUUGAACAAGUCCCGCGCUGGUUAUUGCAUUAUUUUACUCGCAAUUUUCGUAUAACUUGUAUUUAUACUUUAUCUGCACAAUUAUAUUGCCAUUUCUUUACAUUAAAUCGUUAAGUUUUAAAUUUUCA